GGUAAUACGGAGGGUGCAAGCGUUAAUCGGAAUUACUGGGCGUAAAGCGCACGCAGGCGGUUUGUUAAGUCAGAUGUGAAAUCCCCGGGCUCAACCUGGGAACUGCAUCUGAUACUGGCAAGCUUGAGUCUCGUAGAGGGGGGUAGAAUUCCAGGUGUAGCGGUGAAAUGCGUAGAGAUCUGGAGGAAUACCGGUGGCGAAGGCGGCCCCCUGGACGAAGACUGACGCUCAGGUGCGAAAGCGUGGGGAGCAAACAGGAUUAGAUACCCUGGUAGUCCACGCCGUAAACGAUGUCGACUUGGAGGUUGUGCCCUUGAGGCGUGGCUUCCGGAGCUAACGCGUUAAGUCGACCGCCUGGGGAGUACGGCCGCAAGGUUAAAACUCAAAUGAAUUGACGGGGGCCCGCACAAGCGGUGGAGCAUGUGGUUUAAUUCGAUGCAACGCGAAGAACC
rnacentral:rRNA from 1 species